GAAAAUAGAAAAGUUAAAAGAAAUUGAUAACAUGGGUAAGAGUGAGAAAAUUAAGAGCAACACAACAACAAACAGAUUACCUAUGUGUUGACAGUUUAGUACUAAAUCUACUAAUCAUCUACUUUUACCUCCACAAAGGAACGGGACUGAUUUUGUUCUAAAUAGCGGAUCAUGGUUGCCAACCAAUGUAGAUUUAAAAAAAAACUGACGCAAAAACUAGUGUUAAAAAGAUUUUAUUAUUGGAACAUUACACAAGGAAGAACAAAAUAAAGAAAGAAUAAAAUUUGUUUGUUUUUGUUGUGUUUUAACUUUCUGUUUACAUGGGUCUGCUCUGCACAUGACCUGGCCUGGCGUUAGAUU